UUUUCUUGGAGCUUUGUAGCUAGACAGUGCUAUGCCAGAGCCAGCGAAGUCCGCUCCUGUCCCGAAAAAGGGCUCCAAGAAGGCGGUGACUAAAGCACAGAAGAAGGACGGCAAGAAGCGCAAGCGCAGCCGCAAGGAGAGCUAUUCCAUCUAUGUGUACAAGGUGCUGAAGCAGGUCCACCCUGACACCGGUAUUUCGUCCAAGGCCAUGGGCAUCAUGAAUUCGUUUGUGAACGACAUUUUCGAGCGCAUUGCAGGUGAGGCUUCUCGCCUGGCGCAUUAUAACAAGCGCUCGACCAUCACCUCUAGGGAGAUCCAGACGGCUGUGCGCCUGCUGCUGCCCGGGGAGUUGGCCAAGCACGCCGUGUCCGAGGGCACCAAGGCCGUCACCAAGUACACCAGCGCUAAGUAAACGAUCUGCCAUUCUAAUCCCCUUAGAGUUAAGUAAGGAGAUGGGAGAUUUUCUAUUGUAAGUUCGAAACCAAUUAAAAUACUCGUCGGUCCCCCAUCGGAUAGUGAUUUGGAACAGUGCCAAGUUGCAGCGGUUGUCAGUUUGAAUUUGCCCGGGCAACGCCUGCCCUUCCUCUUUGCAUCCUGAUUGGUUGUUGUGUCCAGGAAGUCCACGGUCGGCUUGGGAUAUAGAAAUCAGAAUAAAAAGCAGGGUUUGUAAGAAAAGGAGGAUUGCGACUGACUCAUGGGUAUAUUGUACAGCCACAGGUGAAAAUUUGUAAAGGCUAGGUUUUCGAAAACUAUACAAAGUUAAGUUGAAAAGAACCCAGCUAAUUCUCCUGUUACUCAGAAGACUAAACUGCCUAAGGGGUAAUGAAACAAAUGAUCACCUUAUGCGUUAUUUUCAUCUUGCUAGUGUCCCCUUAAGAAUAAGGACAAAGAGUUAAUACUUUGCUUGAAAAACUGAAUGGGACUGGGCGGGGUGGCUCAUGCCUGUAAUCCCAGCACUUUGGGAGGCCGGGGCUGGUGGAUCACUUGAGGUCAGGAGAUCGAGAGCAGCCUGGCCAACAUGGUGAAACCCCAUCCCUACUAAAAAUACAAAAAUUAGCCCGAUGUGCUGGUGGGACCCUGUAAUCCCAGCUACUCAGGAGGCUGACGCAGGAGAAUCACUUGACCCCAGGAGGCAUAGGUUGCAGUGAGCCGAGAUCAUGGCAGUGCACUCCAGCCUGGGCAACAGAAGGGACUCCAUCUCAAAAAAAAAAAAAAAGAAAAAAGAAAAAAAGAAAAACUGAAUGCUGCAAGUUCAACCCAUUACUAACCAGUUCCUGAAGAAUUGGCUUUUUUCCCUCUGGCUUUUUCCUUCAUUUUAAAAAGGGAUGUAAUAGUGCCUCUUGAGCAAAUAGUUUUGGUAUACUUAGAACAAUGUCCUGUACAUAGUAAGCAUUCAAUAUAUGUUGGCUAAUACUACUGAUGCCUGUUGUAACAGUAGUAUUAGAAGCCGGAACUCAAGUAUGUCCAUAAAUGGCAAUAGAGAAAAGAAUUGCUGCCACUCAGCACAAUUUGGAGUAUUGAAUGUCAUUGUUUACUUUUUCUAGAAGGAGAGUGACCUAAGACACUGAUCUAAACUGAAUGUACAUGGCUAAUGGUUUGGAUAGACAGAGAUUUUUUAAGUGGGCAAAAGUGGAGGUUGUGUUGACAAGAAGCUUUGGGGAACAGUGAUAUGGAUGAAUUUCUCAGAAUGGUCCCAGAGUAUGAGAAUAAUGUCCCACGUGAAUGCUAACUUAAAUUCCCACUCUUCAGAGGAGGCUAUCAACAAUCAGGUACACAUCAACCAUAUGGCUGUCAUGUAGUCUCUUUUCCUAUCACCCCACUUAUUGCCCAAGUGAUUUACUUGUAAACAAUGUGACCAGGGUGGUAGGCAAUGGUAGAGGUGAUACUUGAGCUCUGUAGUAUAGACUUAGCUCACCAAGGCUGACCUCUGGAUACUGAUGCUGCUAAGUGUCCCAUAUGUCAGGGGAAGUAUUCUUGCAUUCUUGCAAGUAUUUUGUCAUGGAUGAGGCAGGGAUUUGUCUUCACUGAGAUAAACACUCUAGAUUUCGAUAUGCUUCACUUUCUUACAUGCUAUUGCUAGCAGGACCAUCUGUGAACUUACUGAACGCUUUAUACCUCAUAUCUCAACAUUUUUUGGACCCAUUUCUAUACAUUAUACAGAAAGGGUAAGGUAAUGCAUGGAUGACCAUGGGACUUGGUAGUCCUAAUGUGUACCACAUUCCUUAUAAGCAGAAGUCUGAAUUUUUGGAAGACUCAGUUAAAGUGGCAUGUAGUCAUUUAGCACCCUCUUGGAGUACUGUUCAAUUUUGGACGUUGUAGAUGAGCUGAAUAGUGACUAAGAAAAAGCAUAAUUUCUUCUGUAGCCAAAAUGCAUUGGUUAAAGAAAGGAGAGGUAGGAAUGGAGUGGUACCUCUCAUAUUACACUUAAUAAUAGCCAACUCAAAAAAGUUAUGCUUUUCAUGUUUCCAACUCAGGGCUCUCUGCUGUUUUUUUGUUUUAGAAAAGGAGGAGUACAUACUCCCACCAGUAGUCAUGGAGAUGCCUCUGUUUAUUGAUUUACCAAAAAUGAUUGAUUUUUAUAUGAAGUUUAAAGCAGUUUAAAUUACAUUCAUUUGCUGGCUUAGAGAACUGUGGGAAGUCUUGACUUAAUGGGUGUUGGGCUUUUGGACUCCUCCUCUGUCAGUUUUCUUUUUGUUUCUGUUUCCCCCCCUUCCCCCACCCCUCCCCUCUCUUUUUAGGGCCAUAGGCAAGGAGCCGUGACAGACAAUUUGAGUGUUUUUAAAAAUACUCUCAUAAAAAAUAUACCUUCGACUGGGUGCAGUGGCUCACGCAUGUAAUCCCAGCACUUUGGGAGGCUGAGGCAGGCACAUCACUUAAGGUCAGGAGUUAGAGAUCAGCCUGGCCAACAUGGUGAAACCUGGUCUUUACUAAAAACACAAAAAUAAGCCAGUCAUGAUGGUGCGUGCCUGUAGUUCCAGCUACUUGGGAGCCUGAGGCAGGAGAAUCACUUGAACCUGCAAGGCAGAGGUUGCAAUGAGCUGAAAUCGUGCUACUGCACUCCAGCCUGGGCAACACAGCGAGACUCUGUUUCAAAAAAAAAAAAAAAAGCAAAACAUUUUUUCCCCAACACUUUUCAAAGAAUGGUUUAAAAGCAAUGACAAUCCAUGAUCAGUGAGAAUUCCCACCCAGACUAUGGUCUCUCAAUUCCUUUUUCAAAGGGGCAGUCAGGCUACUUGGAGACUUGGGUAAAUUUAUGGAUUUUAAUACAUUCAGGAGGAACAGCAAUCAAAUGCCAUAUUUGGAUCUGGUGGGAUCUCAUUCAGAUAAAAUCAAUAUAAAAAAUAUUUGAGACAAUUCCGGAUUUUCUUUCUUUAAGGGCUAGGUAUUGGAUAAUGUUACACAUCAUUUUUUAAAUUUUCUUAGGUGUAAAAUCUUAGCGUAUUUUCUUUAUAUCCAUAUCUGUUAGGAUACUUGUGAAAAUAUUCAUGAUUAAAAUCACAUAUUUGGGAUUUCAUGUUUCAGAUAUUUUUUAGACUCCCUCAUCUGUCAGUGUGGGUGCGGAUAAUGAAACAAAAUGGGCAAGAUGUUGGUAAUUGUUGAAACCUGUGCGACGAGACUUGGGAAGUGCAGGAUUCUCUAUAUUUUUGUGUCUACUUCAGGAUGUCCAUGACCACUCCCUUUCCCCUCCAAAAAAAAGUUAAAAAAAAAAAAAAACUGGCUAAUCAGUGAACAUAU